rnacentral:rRNA from 1 species
GUGGGGAAUUUUGGACAAUGGGCGCAAGCCUGAUCCAGCAAUGCCGCGUGCAGGAAGAAGGCCUUCGGGUUGUAAACUGCUUUUGUACGGAACGAAACGGUCCGGGUUAAUACCCUGGGCUAAUGACGGUACCGUAAGAAUAAGCACCGGCUAACUACGUGCCAGCAGCCGCGGUAAUACGUAGGGUGCAAGCGUUAAUCGGAAUUACUGGGCGUAAAGCGUGCGCAGGCGGUUUUGUAAGACAGGCGUGAAAGCCCCGGGCUCAACCUGGGAAUUGCGCUUGUGACUGCAAGGCUGGAGUGCGGCAGAGGGGGAUGGAAUUCCGCGUGUAGCAGUGAAAUGCGUAGAUAUGCGGAGGAACACCGAUGGCGAAGGCAAUCCCCUGGGCCUGCACUGACGCUCAUGCACGAAAGCGUGGGGAGCAAACAGGAUUAGAUACCCUAGUAGUCC